CGAAAACGGGUUUGGUAAUCAAACCCGGUUAAUACUAAGAGACGGGUUAUAACUCCCGGAAUCCAAUAAGUUAACUAGGAAUAAUAAUAACCUAGUUAGAAGAGAAGUCUUGUAGUGACAUACUAGUGGGUUAAAAACCUUAUAACUAGGAAAAUAUAAAACUUUAUAUUAAAAUUAUAAAGUUUUAAAUAAACAAGGACAAACUAACUAGGACAAAUUAACCCAGUUAGUCUUGAGACUUGUAAAUUACUUACUAGAAGGUUAAAACACCUUAAAUAAAUAACUUAAUGAUAAUGGAGGGACUAAAGGUGUUAAAACUAAAACUAAUAAUAAUAAAAACAAGGUUUAAACACCAAACACACUAAAAGGAGUGUGUCUGGUCGAUCUAAACAUCAGGAGCGAACAGGAGCUUCCCCACCAAACCCUAACUUGUGCAAAUUGAUCAAAUUGGGGCUUCAAAUCAGUUCCAAAUCGAUUUCCAAGCACGAAAUUGUCAUCUCCAUUGAAAGGGGAGUCAUAAGUUUGAUCUCGUCAAACUAAGUGGGAGCUGGAAAGGAAUGGAUCAAACGGGUCAAGUGCGCAAGGAAAGCUCGAACGGACGCAAACUGUACAUUUUGGAUGCCGGAAGACGAUCAAGCUCAACGAAGAACCGAACACGAAUAAGAUAAAAGCUUCCGCACGUCGUUUCGUCGUAACUUUUAAACGACGAACUCAAUUAUGUUAUGUUGUAUUAUUUUAAAAUUGUAAAGUUUAAACAAACCCGUAUUUUUACAAAGUAUAUGUAGUCAUAAUUACAUGUUGUUUGUCGUAUACUUUACGAAAACCAUUAAAUAAUGACAAGGGUGUUACAAGUUGGUAAUCAGAGCUCAUGGUUAAAGAGUAAAGUGUGUUCGGUUCGAGGCUUGAUCGCAUAUCCGGUAAGUACAUGUAUAUUAAUGGUUUGGUAUGUGUUGAAAUGUUGUGAACAACACAUAGGGUUAUCGUGUGAUACACGUUACCUCUAUUAAAUGAUAAAUAUAGUUGAGAAAAUUGCGCGCAUUGACGCGUAUACUAGAAAAGCCUUGUAUUAUAAUACGGGCGAUUAUUGAAGUUGAUAUUACUAAUUCUUGUAAAUGUUUUAAUUGAAGGACACUCGCAUCUGAAGAUAGCGAGAGUUUAACAAAUUGCGGAUAUGAUGAUGGAACGGUCCGAGAUGUGACAAGAAGAGCAUACUCAUCAAGGACCUAAAUCGCAUAACGAUCGCAAAUAAGUAAUGGCAAGGAAUGCCCGUCGGGGCAAGCAUUACCAGGUGCACAUUUUAAACUUAUAGUACAAACAGUAAUAUGCAACAAAUACAUAGUGAAUGACAGUUGCAUAUAGAAUAUGAAACUUGGAAAACCUGGAUAGGUUACCUAUCCAGGAUGACGUUUCCAAGAGAAAUUCAGUAGAGAAUAUGUAUUAUUCACAAAUUGUGAAUAACAAGACAAUAACAGAAUUCAGUUUAUAUAGAAACUUGGACGAAAAUGAUCAUCCAAGUAAGUAUUCUCAAUAUAAAUCCUAUUGAGAAAAGUAAUGAUCACAUCAACAAAUGUGAAUAAAUGUUUAUAAAAAGGGACAUUUUACAUGUUCAAGGAUAAACGACUAAAGCUAAUAAUUGUUAACUAACAAUUAAAUAAAGUUUUACCAAAUGAAAUCAUAAAUAUGGAAAUAAUUUGAGGAGUUACUUACAUGGGGCGUGAUGUGGUAAUUAUAAUAAGGUCACGCGUACCAUGUGUUGAUCGCUUACUCUGGCCAAGUAAGUAGUGAACACAUGAUAGCAUGAGCUUCUUAUAAUGAGCGCAGUUAUGUCCGAUGUAGUAAGGUCAAGAUGAAUGAAAAUUUAAAGGAUCCUUAGGGUCAAGAAAUCUUAUGGGCAUACUCGUAUAAAUGGUUUUCGCGGGAACCAUAAAAACGACGUAUGGCGCACAUAGAAAUAAAUGACCCAAGGAAAUUCGUGACAUAAGUCAUUUCGGACGAAACAACCAUGGUAGACAAAAAGGGCAUUGUAAAACCAAAGUAUAAAUGACCCGCGGGGUCAUAGAAACAAAGGUAUUGCCCACAUGGGAAAAACGAUCAAAAACCAUGGUAGACAAAAAGGGCAUUGUAAAACGAAAGUAUAAAUGACCCGCGGGGUCAUAGAAACAAAGGUAUUGCCCACAUGGGAAAAACGAUCAAAGUCGUUGACUUUGGUCGUAGUAAAGAAAUGAUGAUGAUGAUGAUAAUCAUCAUUCAUAGUUUAUAAGACUGUCAAGGAUGGUCGAAUAAAGAAUAAAGGUUUGGUUGAAUAAAAGCGAUGGAUUUCGCUAAGACAACCAAACAAAUUAAAACGAAAUCUUAAUGUAUACCGGAAUGCUUGCACUAAUAAUGACUUCGGUAAAGUACCCGGUUGAUGGGUAAGGAUUUAAACACAUGCGUAAACCGAGAAACGGGAACACGAAUUUAAAGUCAAAAGACUCGGAUUAUGAGUUAUGACUGAAAGACCAUAAAAUUUCGCAAACAGAAAUUUUGAUAAUUAUAUUCAACUAUUUUGAGGUUGAACGGGUUGAAUAAAGUAUAAUGCUUGAUGGCAUAAGUAAGCGCAAGCCGGAUAACGGUAAGCUUGAGACAAACCGAUGCUUAAUUGACGUGAGAAGUCAUAGAGUCGGAAGAAUUAUCCGAAAGAAAACGAUUGUAGACACGAACUACAGUCAAAGUUAACGGAUUUCAAGCAUGAAAACAAAUGAUUUUCAAACAAAAAAAUAGAGAGUGCUUUGACACCAAAUAUAUAUUUUAAUAAAGACACGAGUAAAAAGAAUGAUCUACGGGAUCAUCAUAACCUUCAGGUUAUAAACAGUGUAAAGGUCUACGGGACCAAAAUGACCUACGGGUCAUGAAUAAAAAGGAAAAAGGAUCAUAAAGGACUCGCCUUAAAGAGGUGAGAGCCUAAAGAAAUAGCCUACGAGGCUAAGUGAAUGAACCUAUGGGUUAUCUAGACAUAGCGAGGGAACUGGUUGAGAAUCCCCGCGUAAAAUAAGAAUGAAAAAGAAUAAAUUCUUAAUUGUCAAUUUCUUGAUAUGAGUAAUUGACGAAAGUUAAAGAGAUGACGUUAAAUUAAACUUCAAGUUUUAGUGAGAAACAACGUUUUAACAAAUAUGAAUACUACAAGACGAUUUUGGAAAUAAAAAAUAUCAAAGAGUAUGGGUCUUAACAUCGAUAGGUGCAAGACGAUAUAUUCGAAAAAGUGGUAUUUUCGAAAAUGAAAGGUUCAUAUAAAUUAAACAUGACGUGACACGAUCACGGUCAAGAAAUGCAAUGUGAAGUGGAAUCACAUUAUCACCAGGCGAGCGGUAAAAAGCAACUGGACUAAUAAGUCUAGUUAGUGAGAUCGGUUAAGGUAAUUUAAGUAAGUUGGUUGCUUGUAAGCGGUGGAUUCGGUAUAACUGAACCGAAUAAAUGAAUUGGAAAACAAAAGAAAUAGUUGCUAAAAGAGAAAGAUUUCACUAAAGACCUUUAAACGGGUCAAGGUAACGGAUUCACAAAGAGUUCGAUAAUAUAUGAAAGCGAUGGAUAUCGCUAAGUUAACUAAACUAGUGGAAAUAACAAGAUUACGUUAUUUCGUAGUUACACUAUGUCGUAUGAGAUAUGUAGACAAUUAGUAACCAAAAAGAUGUUACCGUACUUUUCGGGUAGUACUAACGAUUGGUUAAAAAGUAUAAGUAAUGUUUAAAAGAUUACUCAGGUCAAACGCAUUGAGUUUAGAACUCGAUGAACUAUGUAAGAAAGGUUUCGAGGACGAAACCUCUUUAAGGGGGGUAGACUUGUAACACCCCGAAAACGGGUUUGGUAAUCAAACCCGGUUAAUACUAAGAGACGGGUUAUAACUCCCGGAAUCCAAUAAGUUAACUAGGAAUAAUAAUAACCUAGUUAGAAGAGAAGUCUUGUAGUGACAUACUAGUGGGUUAAAAAUCUUAUAACUAGGAAAAUAUAAAACUUUAUAUUAAAAUUAUAAAGUUUUAAAUAAACAAGGACAAACUAACUAGGACAAAUUAACCCAGUUAGUCUUGAGACUUGUAAAUUACUUACUAGAAGGUUAAAACACCUUAAAUAAAUAACUUAAUGAUAAUGGAGGGACUAAAGGUGUUAAAACUAAAACUAAUAAUAAUAAAAACAAGGUUUAAACACCAAACACACUAAAAGAAGUGUGUUUGGUCGAUCUAAACAUCAGGAGCGAACAGGAGCUUCCCCACCAAACCCUAACUUGUGCAAAUUGAUCAAAUUGGGGCUUCAAAUCAGUUCCAAAUCGAUUUCCAAGCACGAAAUUGUCAUCUCCAUUGAAAGGGGAGUCAUAAGUUUGAUCUCGUCAAACUAAGUGGGAGCUGGAAAGGAAUGGAUCAAACGGGUCAAGUGCGCAAGGAAAGCUCGAACGGACGCAAACUUCAUAUGUUUACAGGAACGAAUAGAAAUUUGGAUAAUUACAUCAUCAUAGAAUAUUGAAUUAAUAAUAGCAAGGCAUAAACGGGUCUAUACGUUGACUCGAGCCAGGUACAUUUUGGAUGCCGGAAGACGAUCAAGCUCAACGAAGAACCGAACACGAAUAAGAUAAAAGCUUCCGCACGUCGUUUCGUCGUAACUUUUAAACGACGAACUCAAUUAUGUUAUGUUGUAUUAUUUUAAAAUUGUAAAGUUUAAACAAACCCGUAUUUUUACAAAGUAUAUGUAGUCAUAAUUACAUGUUGUUUGUCGUA